rnacentral:rRNA from 1 species
UUUAAUGAGAGUUUGAUCCUGGCUCAGGACGAACGCUGGCGGCGUGCCUAAUACAUGCAAGUAGAACGCUGAGGUUUGGUGUUUACACUAGACUGAUGAGUUGCGAACGGGUGAGUAACGCGUAGGUAACCUGCCUCAUAGCGGGGGAUAACUAUUGGAAACGAUAGCUAAUACCGCAUAAGAGUAAUUAACACAUGUUAGUUAUUUAAAAGGAGCAAUUGCUUCACUGUGAGAUGGACCUGCGUUGUAUUAGCUAGUUGGUGAGGUAAAGGCUCACCAAGGCGACGAUACAUAGCCGACCU